rnacentral:lncRNA from 1 species
CACUCACGAAGCUGCCUUCAUAGACCCUGCACUCUCAAUUAGGCCAGCCCCAACUCGCUGUGUGCCCACGCUAAUGUUUGUUGGGCACCUACCACCAGCUAGGCACCAUGUCGGGUGUUUAGAAUCCAUUGAUGCAAGAACAAAACAGCAAAGUACUUAUAGAAAACUCCUGUUCUUUCAGAAUGGGCAGGAGGCUGGGCUGAGGAUGCACGCAAGCUUUCCUACCAGAGAUGUGCCCCUCCUCCUCCUCCUAGAAAGGCCUGCCUGGAACUUUACACUGCUCGAGUUACCUCCAGAGAGGUCUUGGCUCUGGUCUAGGACUAUGUGCAAAUGUUCAAAAUACUCACACAUGAUGUGAACAGGAAGAUUGGGAAAUACU